CCGCUCGCCACCCGGCGGCGGCGAGGGCCGGUUGCCGCUCGGCCGGGGCCGUCGCGGUCACGCGGGUGGAUCCUCGCCUGUCGGGCGGCC
rnacentral:tRNA from 1 species